rnacentral:rRNA from 1 species
GAUGAACGCUAGCGGCAGGCCUAACACAUGCAAGUCGAGGGGUAACGUGAGUGCUUGCACUUGACGACGACCGGCGCACGGGUGCGGAACGCGUAUGGAACCUACCUUUAUCAGGGAGAUAGCCCAUGGAAACGUGGAUUAAUACCCCAUAGUAUUAUUUCAUUGCAUGAUGAUAUAAUUAAAGAAUUUCGGAUAGAGAUGGCCAUGCGUAUCAUUAGCUAGUAGGCGAGGUAACGGCUCACCUAGGCGACGAUGAUUAGGGGUCCUGAGAGGGAGAUCCCCCACACUGGUACUGAGACACGGACCAGACUCCUACGGGAGGCAGCAGUGAGGAAUAUUGGGCAAUGGAGGCAACUCUGACCCAGCCAUGCCGCGUGCAGGAAGACGGCCCUAUGGGUUGUAAACUGCUUUUAUACAGGAAGAACACCACCCACGUGUGGGUGACUGACGGUACUGUAAGAAUAAGGACCGGCUAACUCCGUG